AGUGAACGCUGGCGGUAGGCCUAACACAUGCAAGUCGAACGGCAGCACAGUAAGAGCUUGCUCUUACGGGUGGCGAGUGGCGGACGGGUGAGGAAUACAUCGGAAUCUACUUUUUCGUGGGGGAUAACGUAGGGAAACUUACGCUAAUACCGCAUACGACCUACGGGUGAAAGCAGGGGAUCUUCGGACCUUGCGCGAUUGAAUGAGCCGAUGUCGGAUUAGCUAGUUGGCGGGGUAAUGGCCCACCAAGGCGACGAUCCGUAGCUGGUCUGAGAGGAUGAUCAGCCACACUGGAACUGAGACACUGUCCAGACUCCUACGGGAGGCAGCAGUGGGGAAUAUUGGACAAUGGGCGCAAGCCUGAUCCAGCCAUACCGCGUGGGUGAAGAAGGCCUUCGGGUUGUAAAGCCCUUUUGUUGGGAAAGAAACGCAGCAGGUUAAUACCCCGCUGUUCUGACGGUACCCAAAGAAUAAGCACCGGCUAACUUCGUG
rnacentral:rRNA from 1 species